ACGACUCGAGAGUCUACAUCCACAUCGACGAGCGCGAUGUCUGCACGAUAAACCCGAUUCCUCCCCACCUCCAAUCGGAUUCCUUUGACUGCGUUUCCUAAAGAUUAUUUUCUCUCCGCAUCCAUCCGGGGAGUCAUUCAGAGGUUAUGAUUCCCGGGCUGCUGUUAUUGGAUAUCGCGCUCCAGUUCGGGACGCCAUUGGUCCGGAGCUUGUCAGUCUGCGGCGCGCCGGCGCUCGCGGAGCCGCCGCGCAGACAGCGCACGACACGCAAGUGGCCAGAGAGUGUCUGGAGUCUGUCUGAAACUGAUAAAAAUGGUGAUGGAGUUUAUCCAGAGUCUCGCUCACACUCGUUAGAAAAACAAAGGGAGACAGAGCGGAAUUAUACAAUCAUCCAACACUGUAGUCCGACCGUAGCUUGAAAACUAGAUCCUACCGUAGCGCAUUUCAAAGUUUUAUUCCGUGUUUCUCACCAGACAGACAGUUCAUUAAUUCACAGGCGGGAGGAUUACGUUUCUGAAGUCUUCUGAUGACCUCUCGGAGCUGUCACAGAUGCAGCCACACUUAAAGGUGAUACCUGUGUUCUGCGCUUACGCUGCCGUGCUGACGGAUAGUGAAGAGGAACAGAGCUGAUGUGUCUGCAGAGAUGAUACAGGUAGUAAUAUUAAUGUGAUUGUACGUAUAUAUCUUUUUACUGCGUUAUUCUCUCCCUCACUUUCUAUAAAGUGCUGUUCUUUGCUCUUACUUUCUUUCUCUGGCUAUUUCCAUCAUCACUGAAGCAGAACAGCUUUUACUUGCCAUCAUACGAUAAAUACAUAUAUAAUAUUAACUGUUUUUGCUUAAGUUAAUGCUACAGUAACCGCUGCUUUCUUUGUCAAAUGACAAUAAUACCAUGUUAGAAUCGUUCUUAAUGUCAGAUGUUCGUUCAUGCUUGUUUAAUUGGCAAAAUGUCUUCUUUAAAUAUAAAUCACUUGUCAUUUUAUUUUAAUAAACAUGAUCUUUAUGUAUUAUCCGAAUGAAUAUAUCAAGAUUGAGCCUCAAGUUAGAUACAUGAGUAUUUUGUCUGUACUCCAAGUCCUUUUAUUAUUACGUAAAGGCUCAUCCAUAUGCUGCAGAAAUAAAGCUUUUUAAUGAGCACAACUCACCACAACAGUAAAUGCAAAUGAAUUGCACUCUACUGAUUUUAUCAUUUAUAUUUGUAGCGAGUGCUUGUAGUGAAAAAGGAAAUAUACGAGCAUUGAGUUUACGGUUUUAAUGCAUUGAAACUAAGUUUAAACAUGUACUGACGUGUUUUUUUAAUAUCAGGAAGGAGAUAGCAUACACACAUCAUUCACUUAAAAUUUGUAGACCUUUAACUGAAUAGAAUGUUUUAAAUGGUUAUUUUGUCCUGUUCAUGGUUAGUUGGAGUCACGGCCAAUUAUGUCUCCAAAUGUCGUACAGUAUAAGGUCAAAAGUCGCUGUGCUGUAUUAGAAAGAUGACAGUAACCAUUCUGGAAAGGUCAGCCACUCAGUUUGUUUCCAAAGGCGAGGUGCCACAGUGACGCCUUUGAGCUUUUGAUUUACUUUAUAUUAGAUUUAGUUAAUGAUAUGUCUUGCUGUUUAAUGACGGACGUAAACUUCUACAUCCAAAUGCUCUGGCCUCAUUUUCAUUGAGUUUUUGAGUAAAUGGUUAAUUAGUUUUGUUGUGGGGUUAUUUUACUCAGAAUCUUGUAGUGCUGCGCUUUUCUGAACAGACUUUAAAUGUAACCCUCGCUAGCUCACUUAAAAGAUUGUAACGUGCGAGUGCACUACGUUAAAUGUGAACAUGUUUGUAACAUUACUUUCAUUUUAACUUUGUUUUUUAAAAACAAUACAUUUGGUUAUUUAUUUAUUUUUUGGGAAAAGAAAGUUAACGAGUAUUUUCAGCGCUGCUCUUUUAUUAAUACCAAAUCUAAAGACUGCAUUUAUUUAACCAAAAAUACAGUAAAGAGACUCAUUCCAUGUGAUGUCUUCGGUGUCACGUGAUUUUUAAGAAAUCAUUCUGUUUAUUUGCUUUUUAUGAAACAUCCUCUUACUAUUAUCAAUGUUGAAAAAUGUAGUUGUGUUGCUUUAAUAUUUUUGUGGAAACCAACGAAUAAAAUGUUUAGAAGAACUUAUUUUAAGAAAUCAUUUGUAAUUUUAUGUGUAACAUUUCUUUGCUGUCACUUGUCCAUUUAAUGCAUCUUUUGCUGAAUAAGUGUUUUUUUUCCCUGCUGAACCACAGCUUUUCAACCGUAGUGUAAUAGAUAAUUACAUAGAUAGGUAGUUACUUAGUGUAAUAGAUAGUUAAUAGCAAUUGAAAAAAACUUUUUAGGGGACAGCUAAAAACUCUAUUUUGUGGUCUCCAUGAAGUUAUUUUAAACUUUAGAGUUAUUAAUAUUUAUUUAACUCUGAAAUCAAUGUUAAUGGGUGCACUUGCCAGUCACUGCCACAACUUCAGUGACUGGCACUUGUACCUUACAUGCUCAUUAAAAUUUCUCAUUAGGCUUUUUUUUUU